rnacentral:rRNA from 1 species
UGGGGAAUUUUCCGCAAUGGGCGAAAGCCUGACGGAGCAAUACCGCGUGAGGGAGGAAGGCUUUUGGGUUGUAAACCUCUUUUGUUAAGGAAGAAGCAAGUGACGGUACCUCCAGAAGAAGCCCCGGCCAACUACGUGCCAGCAGCCGCGGUAAUACGUAGGGGGCAAGCGUUGUCCGGAAUUAUUGGGCGUAAAGAGCUCGUAGGCGGCCCAACGAGUCGGAUGUGAAAUCUCAAGGCUCAACCUUGAAACUGCAUCCGAUACUGCUGGGCUUGAGGCAGGUAGGGGAAAGUGGAAUUCCUGGUGUAGCGGUGAAAUGCGCAGAUAUCAGGAGGAACACCGGUGGCGAAGGCGGCUUUCUGGGCCUGUACUGACGCUGAGGAGCGAAAGCGUGGGGAGCAAACAGGAUUAGAUACCCGCGUAGUCC